rnacentral:tRNA from 1 species
UUAGUAAAAGCCAAGUUUGAGGCAAUUUAAUGUUAAUAAAUGAAUUGGAUUUGUAUCCUUAUUGGG